CACCAGGGGCUGCUGUUGAACUUCUGAAAAAUAUCAUCCCUUGGAGAAGAAGGGAAGAAGUCCUACCACGAUGGUGAAGGCAUGGCGGCUGGGGUGUUCUGGUCUGGGGUGGUCUGUACUUCAGACCUUGUCAGACCAGGAAGCUGGGAAAACUAGGAUUGGAACUAGAAGAGGAAGCCAGCUUCCGAGCUUGUCCCUAGCAGCCUACUUCAGGGAAGAUACUAGGUCCUGGCUUUCUUUAAAACAGCUGCCUCUGAAUCCUCACAAAGGCUCUGUGUCAUCAGACUGCGUUUCAUCUAUCACGAAAACAAAUACGUCUGCUGAAAAAAAUGGCAGAACGAAUUA